UUAAUAAAAUAGGCCCAUUUCCAGCUUAUAUUAAUUGAAACUCGAGUAAAGAAGGCUUAUCUAACCCAUUUGAGAACGACAACUCACGACAUGAUGGAAAGAAAGCCCUAUAGCCUGGAAGACAGCAGAACUGGGGUCCGGGUUGCUCACAAGUGGUCAACAGAAGCAACCCCUGAACACGCUCCAGCCUCCGUUUCCUCACCCGGGAGACAGACUGAGGCAUCUUUCAGGUUCCUUUCAACUCUGAGAACGACAAGACUGGGGGACAAAUGAACCAAACAGCUGAUUCCACCCAGGGCUGGACUGUCACCUGUGGUUUCUGCUCCUUCAGAGCAGAGGGGAUUAGCUGCCAUUUAGACACAGGAAUGCAGCGCUUUGAUUAUUUUGGUGUCUGUUUUCACAGGCAUUGGAGCGGAACCCUGCAGCCAGCCGGUGAGACCUGACUGGCCCUCUCCCCUCACUGGAGAGUAAGCAGGCUUGGCUGAUAACUGACACCACAGAGGUGCGGGCCCCCCACCAGACACCACUACAAUUAAACCCCAUCUUGUUGCUCACUGGAUGUGUGGCCUUGGUUAACCACAAACCCGCCUGAACGCCCCACCGGCAGGCCAGCUGAAAGCCGUUACUUCUUAUCCAGCCCCUAACAGAUACGAUUAGAAGGGGUACUUAAAAUGUUAAGACGUUUCAUUCCUAACGCCCUGGCUGAAACCCAGAGAGACUUGAGGCAAGACGGCUGGUUCGAGCUACUUCCCUCCUAGAUGAAACUGAAGUUACCUGAUGUCCUUGGGGCGGCAUGGCAUGGAGAAGAAUGUGGUCCACCAGUGAUGCUGCUGACCUACAGAAAGGCCCUCCGUGGACCUGUCCCCAGGAUCAAGUGGUUGCCAUGGCAUCAAGUUUUGUGCGAGAGGCAUAAAGACCGAAGGGGGAGUUCAUCUCAUACCUUCCUUCUCCAUCCCUGUGUUCUGCACUACUGAGACCCACAGAGCUUCUCGAAUCUACACAACGCGUAUCAUCAGAACAGUGGCGGGAAGGCAUUUGAUGGCAGCUUUGAGACUCAGUAAGAAAGUAAUACCUGGAUAUUAAGCCAUUAUCCAUAAAGCCAUGUUGCAGAUUUCUCUCUGAGGGUCUUCCAACUUCUUGCUGCGUUUUUAGUUGUUCAUGGCUGGGGUGGGCAGGGAGGGGAUGUGGGGAAGGAAAUUACGAAGUAACCGAGCUUCCCAUCCUGACCCCCGAACGAAUGGUCAUGGCGGACUGACAGAAGCAGGCCAGCAGUUGCUGACAUCUGCCAAGAAGGAAAUGAAAAUACGAGAAACAUCAAGGCUAAAAUUCCGGACUGCCUGCUGGCAGCCAAAGUCCAUUGGCUUGCAGAAACAACCAGAUAGACAUCCUGGACUAUCAAAUGCUGGAUGAAGCUUAUCACUGGUGUUAAGGAGAGGGGCACCAAGCCCACAGUCAGGAAAUCAUGUUUCCAUGAGCCAAAUCUCACAACUACACACAGCAGCCAAGGCCAGAUCUCACUAUAAGGCAGAGACAGGAGAAUGUCAGCCCUCAUUGGCCAUCUGUCAGCAGCCCCUGGUUAACUUGGAGAUCAAAUCAGAGGCACUGCUCUCUGAAAGACCCACAUUUCAAGUACUAGGUAAAGGCUGAUAUAAGCACAUGUAGAAAUAAAACCCAAGGCAAGAGAGUCCAGCAAAAAUCUUGGCAUGGUAGCUGACUCUAAAUGCAUUCUUGGGAUACUGGAAGGGUGGAGGUGAGGAGGGGGGAGCGUUUUUAAAGAGGAGACCAUUUCAGUAAACUAUUUUGUACAUGGUUGGCAGAGCCCGCUAUUUUAUUUUUAUUAUUAUUAAAAUCUCUUUUAAAACCAUAUGGCUUCAAGAUGCUCCAUUUUGCCCUGGCCGGAAAAGCUGGUGCAUUUUAUUUAUAAUCAACGUGGUCAGCUGCAAGGGCACCUCCCGGGAGCCUGAUGCAAUUGGAAAAUCUCAGACCCCAACUCACACCUACUGAGCCAGAAUGAACAAGAUUCCCGGAGGUUUGCGUGCACGUGGAAGUUUAAAACACACAGCUGUAGGGCAAGUUAGGCAAAAAGAAAAUCUGGGAAGACUUGGGUAGCCAAGCGCUGGUUUGCUUUAAACAAGGAGUAAUAGCAUAGCCAGCUCAGUGCCCACUUGCACUCACUGGGCAAGAGAGCUGGCAACAGCCCCUGGGCCACACUGAGAUCAUGUAGGCAGUGAUGGAGAGGCAGAGGAAGAGGGCCUGGCUUCAACCUCAUGCCUGAAAGGACAAUACAGGUGCCUCUUCUUCCAGGUGUGGUCAUACGUUUUCGAGUUUUGUCCAUAGAAGGCCAAGGCCCAUAUGAAUAUAGACGAUGCCUUAGGAAGCCUAAGCAAUGUAAAAGAAAAAAAAAAAAAACCUAUCUGUCCAAUUAACAUAGGGUAAUGAUCCUCUUCUAAAAAUUGUUCUUGGGGCACCUGGUUGGCUCAGUCGGCUAAAGAGACGACUUCGGCCCAGGUCAUGGUGUCACGGUUCACGAGUUCGAGCUCCGCGUCGGCUCUCUGCGUCGGACUGGAACCUGCUUCGGAUCUUGUCUCCCUCUCUCUCUGCCCCCCCCCCAACUCGCGCUCUGUGGCUCAAAAAUAAACAUUAAAAAAAAUGAAAAA